GGCGGCAUAUGUCGGGAUACGGUCAUGGUAAAAAGUCAGUAUUUAUACUGGUUCAGCCCACUGCCGGCGGGUUCGAUCCCCGCUGCCGCCUA
rnacentral:tRNA from 2 species